rnacentral:rRNA from 1 species
AACGCGAAGAACCUUACCAGGUCUUGACAUCCCGAUGACCGCUUCAGAGAUGGAGCUUCUCUUCGGAGCAUUGGAGACAGGUGGUGCAUGGUUGUCGUCAGCUCGUGUCGUGAGAUGUUGGGUUAAGUCCCGCAACGAGCGCAACCCUUGAUCUUAGUUGCCAGCACUUCGGGUGGGCCCUCUAAGAUGACUGCCGGUGACAAACCGGAGGAAGGUGGGGAUGACGUCAAAUCAUCAUGCCCCUUAUGACCUGGGCUACACACGUACUACAAUGGUCGGUACAACGGGCAGCGAAGGAGCGAUCUGGAGCAAAUCCUUAAAAGCCGAUCUCAGUUCGGAUUGCAGGCUGCAACUCGCCUGCAUGAAGUCGGAAUUGCUAGUAAUCGCGGAUCAGCAUGCCGCGGUGAAUACGUUCCCGGGUCUUGUACACACCG